rnacentral:rRNA from 1 species
UACGUAGGGGGCAAGCGUUGUCCGGAUUUAUUGGGCGUAAAGAGCGUGUAGGCGGCCAUGCAGGUCCGUUGUGAAAACUCGAGGCUCAACCUCGAGACGCCGGUGGAAACCGUGUGGCUAGAGUCCGGAAGAGGAGAGUGGAAUUCCUGGUGUAGCGGUGAAAUGCGCAGAUAUCAGGAGGAACACCCGUGGCGAAAGCGGCUCUCUGGGACGGUACUGACGCUGAGACGCGAAAGCGUGGGGAGCAAACAGG